CUGGCUGGUUGGGGUUCACAACUGCGAUGUAUCGGUGGGCGGAGCUCGGGCGAGAGUGAGCAGUAACUCUCUCGCCCUUCCGUCCAGAGUGGGGCGCAGCACCUCUCCGGAACCUGCACGGCUCCCGCUUUGGUUCCGGUCGGAGCGACCUAGGGGCGCACGCCCGCCGGGCUGCGCUGGUGGUGAGGUGUUCGGCGUGCAGGAGCCUGCGGCCUUCGCAACGGUCCCGAGGGGACGGCGACGACACAAGUAAGGGCCUCAAAUGAUGAUGAUGAUGACAACCAUGAUGAAGAUACAGGUGAUGAAGGCAACAAUAGCUACAACAACAGGGAAGAGACCUAACAAAGUGAGAAGGUGACUGCAAGUCAAGAAGAGAAGUCUCACCAGAAACCAACCCUGGAAGCACCUCAGUCUUGGACUUCUAGCUUCCAGAAAUGUGAGAAAAUUAUGUGAAGCCACUCAGUCUGUGGUAUUUCAUUAUUGUAGCCCACGCAGGCCAAUAUAGAUAGAAGAGUGUGGUCAAAAGAUUAAAUGUGAAAAGAAAAAUUGUGUAUCAUUUAGGAAUUGGACUAAGAACAUUGGAGGAGUCCUUUAUUUAGGGGGGGAAUUACUAGGUCAAGGAUGCAAAUGGAAAGUUGGUAUUGGAAAUGUAUGAAUCUGUUCAAGGAUGAUACAAAAGGAAAUAGUGAGGGCUGUGAUCAAAUCAGACAGUGCAUGUCCUGUUUUAAGGCACUGAAAUUCUAGUUCUCUAAAGCCCCCAUACAGGUUAAACGGAAUACAUCAA